AACCAGUUUAACGGUUAAGCUGACAAAGAAAACAUGUCAAUUAUUAUAAUAUCAAGAUAUAAACAAACAACGAUUUCGGCGCGCUACAUUACAAGAUGUUUAAUCAGAAACGACUUGGUAAAACUUUUUAACGUCUUAGAUCCUUAGUUAAUCCCGGAUGUCGGGAUUUGUGAUUCUCUCACAUAUACGUGCAGUCUUUUCCUAAUGGAGAAAUUAUAACGAAAACAAGGGAUGACAAACUUUUCACCGAAAUAUGGAAAGAUAAUUCCUUCCAAACUAAACGCCCUAUUUAAUGUGAGGAGAGGAGAGUGGACGAGGAAAGUGUGAACCAGAUAAUUAUAAAUGACAAGAGGCAAACGAGCAAAUGAAGAAGACCUCGUGGAUUCUAAGCAAAAUUGUGCGGUUUACACACAUGUCGCUAACAUGAGGGCGGUUUGUCUAGAUACCGCACUGUAAUAUAAUUUAAGACUUUGUUUGCGUUCUGGAAAGAUAUAAAGUGGAUCCAAAUACAUAGAUAAAACUUUGGCUUACGUUUCCGGCUUGUCAUUCUGUUAUCACACAAUAAAUUAUAAUUUGCUUACACAUUAACCAUGUGAGUAAAUAAAGGGUUUAUUCAGAGAG